rnacentral:rRNA from 1 species
UNGAACGGUANCAUGNAGUGCUUGCACUUGAUGACGAGUGGCGGGACGGGCUGAGUAAAGUAUGGGGCAUCUGCCGAAUGGAGGGGGACAACAGUUGGAAACGACUGCUAAUACCGCAUAAAGUUGAGAGACCAAAGCAUGGGACUUACGGGCCAUGCGCCAUUUGAUGAACCCAUAUGGGAUUAGCUAGUUGGUAGGGUAAUGGCUUACCAAGGCGACGAUCUCUAGCUGGUCUGAGAGGAUGACCAGCCACACUGGAACUGAGACACGGUCCAGACUCCUACGGGAGGCAGCAGUGGGGAAUAUUGCACAAUGGGGGGAACCCUGAUGCAGCCAUGCCGCGUGUAUGAAGAAGGCCUUCGGGUUGUAAAGUACUUUCGGUAACGAGGAAGGUGGUGUAUCUAAUAGGUGCAUCAAUUGACGUUAAUUACAGAAGAAGCACCGGCUAACUCCGUGCCAGCAGCCGCGGUAAUACGGAGGGUGCGAGCGUUAAUCGGAAUGACUGGGCGUAAAGGGCAUGUAGGCGGAUAAUUAAGUUAGGUGUGAAAGCCCUGGGCUCAACCUAGGAAUUGCACUUAAAACUGGUUAACUAGAGUAUUG